UACGUAGGGGGCAAGCGUUGUCCGGAAUCAUUGGGCGUAAAGCGCGCGUAGGUGGCCCAGUAAGUCCGUUGUGAAAGUCAAAGGCUCAACCUUUGAAAGCCGAUGGAUACUGCUGGGCUUGAGUCCGGAAGAGGCGAGUGGAAUUCCUGGUGUAGCGGUGGAAUGCGCAGAUAUCAAGGAGGAACACCAAUAGCGAAGGCAGCUCGCUGGGACGGUACUGACACUAAGGCGCGAAAGCGUGGGGAGCGAACAGG
rnacentral:rRNA from 1 species